UACGUAGGGGGCAAGCGUUGUCCGGAAUCAUUGGGCGUAAAGGGCGUGUAGGCGGCCCGGUAAGUCCGCUGUGAAAGUCCAGGGCUCAACCCUGGGAUGCCGGUGGAUACUGUCGGGCUCGAGUCCGGAAGAGGAGUGUGGAAUUCCUGGUGUAGCGGUGAAAUGCGCAGAUAUCAGGAGGAACACCAAUGGCGAAGGCAGCACUCUGGGACGUGACUGACGCUGAGACGCGAAAGCGUGGGGAGCAAACAGG
rnacentral:rRNA from 1 species